GGACGAACGCUGGCGGCGUGCUUAACCCAUGCAAGUCGAACGCUGAAGCUCAGCUUUUGUUGGGUGGAUGAGUGGCGAACGGGUGAGUAACACGUGAGUAACCUGCCUCCUUCUUUGGGAUAACGCCCGGAAACGGGUGCUAAUACUGGAUAUUCACUGGUCUUCGCAUGGGGGUUGGUGGAAAGGGUUUUUCUGGUGGGGGAUGGGCUCGCGGCCUAUCAGCUUGUUGGUGGGGUGAUGGCCUACCAAGGCUUUGACGGGUAGCCGGCCUGAGAGGGUGACCGGGCACAUUGGGACUGAGAUACGGCCCAGACUCCUACGGGAGGCAGCAGUGGGGAAUAUUGCACAAUGGGCGCAAGACUGAUGCAGCGACGCCGCGUGAGGGAUGGAGGCCUUCGGGUUGUGAACCUGUUUCGCUCAUGGUCAAGCCGCAACAAUGGUUGUGGUGAGGGUAGUGGGUAAAGAAGCGCCGGCUAACUACGUG
rnacentral:rRNA from 1 species